rnacentral:rRNA from 1 species
GAGUUUGAUCUUGGCUCAGAUUGAACGCUGGCGGCAUGCCUUACACAUGCAAGUCGAACGGUAACAGGUUAAGCUGACGAGUGGCGAACGGGUGAGUAAUGUAUCGGAACGUGCCCAGUCGUGGGGGAUAACUGCUCGAAAGAGCAGCUAAUACCGCAUACGACCUGAGGGUGAAAGCGGGGGAUCGCAAGACCUCGCGCGAUUGGAGCGGCCGAUAUCAGAUUAGGUAGUUGGUGAGGUAAAGGCUCACCAAGCCGACGAUCUGUAGCGGGUCUGAGAGGACGACCAGCCACACUGGGACUGAGACACGGCCCAGACUCCUACGGGAGGCAGCAGUGGGGAAUGUUGGACAAUGGGGGGAAGCCUGAUCCAGCCAUGCCGCGUGCGGGAAGAAGGCCUUCGGGUUGUAAACCGCUUUUGGCAGGGAAGAAAAGGUGCUGGCUAAUACCUGGGACUCAUGACGGUACCUGAAGAAUAAGCACCGGCUAACUACGUGCCAGCAGCCGCAGUAAAAC